rnacentral:rRNA from 1 species
UGGUGGAGUGAUUUGUCUGGUUUAUUCCGUUAACGAACGAGACCUCGACCUGCUAAAUAGUCCGGCGUGUUUUCGGACACGUACGUGACUUCUUAGAGGGACUGUCGGUUUUAGCCGAAGGAAGCUCGAGGCAAUAACA